rnacentral:rRNA from 1 species
AUUGAACGCUGGCGGCAGGCCUAACACAUGCAAGUCGAACGAGUGGCGGACGGGUGAGUAAUGUCUGGGAAACUGCCUGAUGUAGGGGGAUAACUACUGGAAACGGUAGUUAAUACCGCAUACCAUCGGAUGUGCCCCGAUGGGAUUAGCUAGUAGGUGGGGUAAAGGCUCACCUAGGCGACGAUCCCUAGCUGGUCUGAGAGGAUGACCAGCCACACUGUAACUGAGACACGGCCCAUACUCCUACGGGAGGCAGCCGUGGGGAAUAUUGAACAAUGGGAGCAAGCCUGAUGCAGCCAUGCCGCGAGUAUGAGGAAGGCCUUCGGGUUGUAAAGUACUUUCAGCGGGGAGGCGUUACCCGCAGAAGAAGCGCCGGCUAACUCCGUGCCAGCAGCCGCGGUAAUUC